rfam:Pterocles gutturalis contig74126, whole genome shotgun sequence.
CCAAAGGCUCUUUUAAGAGCCACCACACUGGCCACUAAAGAGAGCU